UACGUAGGUGGCAAGCGUUGUCCGGAAUUAUUGGGCGUAAAGCGCGCGCAGGCGGUUCCUUAAGUCUGAUGUGAAAGCCCCCGGCUCAACCGGGGAGGGUCAUUGGAAACUGGGGAACUUGAGUGCAGAAGAGAAGAGUGGAAUUCCACGUGUAGCGGUGAAAUGCGUAGAGAUGUGGAGGAACACCAGUGGCGAAGGCGACUCUUUGGUCUGUAACUGACGCUGAGGCGCGAAAGCGUGGGGAGCAAACAGG
rnacentral:rRNA from 3 species